AGAGUUUGAUCCUGGCUCAGAACGUACGCUGGCGGCACGCCUAAUACAUGCAAGUCGAACGAAGUAGCAAUACUUAGUGGCAGACGGGUGAGUAACAUGUAGGUAUCUACCCUUUGGCCUGGAAUAACACGAGGAAACUUGUGCUAAUACCGGAUAAGUCUUUACGGAGAAAGCUUUAUGCACCAUUGGAUGAGCCUGCACUUGAUUAGUUUGUUGGUGGGGUAAUGGCCUACCAAGACAAUGAUCAAUAGCUGAUUUGAGAGGAUGAUCAGCCACAUUGGGACUGAGACACGGCCCAAACUCCUACGGGAGGCAGCAGUAGGGAAUCUUGCACAAUGGAGGAAACUCUGAUGCAGCGAUGCCGCGUGAGUGAAGAAGGCCUUUGGGUUGUAAAGCUCUUUCGUCGGGGAAGAAAAUGACUGUACCCGAAUAAGAAGGUCCGGCUAACUUCGUGCCAGCAGCCGCGGUAAUACGAAGGGACCUAGCGUAGUUCGGAAUUACUGGGCUUAAAGAGUUCGUAGGUGGUUAAAGAAGUUGGUGGUGAAAUCCCAGAGCUUAACUCUGGAACUGCCAUCAAAACUUUUUAGCUAGAGUAUGAUAGAGGAAAGCAGAAUUUCUAGUGUAGAGGUGAAAUUCGUAGAUAUUAGAAAGAAUACCGAUUGCGAAGGCAGCUUUCUGGAUCAUUACUGACACUGAGGAACGAAAGCAUGGGUAGCGAAGAGGAUUAGAUACCCUCGUAGUCCAUGCCGUAAACGAUGUGUGUUAGACGUUGGAAAUUUAUUUUCAGUGUCGCAGCGAAAGCGAUAAACACACCGCCUGGGGAGUACGACCGCAAGGUUAAAACUCAAAUGAAUUGACGGGGACCCGCACAAGUAGUGGAGCAUGUGGUUUAAUUCGAAGAUACGCGCAGAACCUUACCAACACUUGACAUGUUCGUCGCGACUCUAAGAGAUUAGAGUUUUCGGUUCGGCCGGACGAAACACAGGUGCUGCAUGGCUGUCGUCAGCUCGUGUCGUGAGAUGUUGGGUUAAGUCCCGCAACGAGCGCAACCCUUACUUUUAGUUGCCAUCAUUUAGUUGGGCACUCUGAAAGAACUGCCAGUGAUAAGCUGGAGGAAGGUGGGGAUGACGUCAAGUCCUCAUGGCCCUUAUGUGUUGGGCUACACACGUGCUACAAUGGUAUCUACAACAGGAAGCAAGAUGGCAACGUUAAGCAAAUCCCAAAAAGAUACCUCAGUUCGGAUUGCACUCUGCAACUCGAGUGCAUGAAGCUGGAAUUACUAGUAAUCGUGGAUCAGCGUGCCACGGUGAAUACGUUCCCGGGUCUUGUACACACCGCCCGUCACACCAUGGGAGUUGGUUCUACCUUAAGGCAAAGUUUAAAACCUUUGACCACGGUAUAGUCAGCGACUGGGGUGAAGUCGUAACAAGGUAACC
rnacentral:rRNA from 1 species